rnacentral:tRNA from 1 species
GGUUGGUUAGUUAAAGUUUAUAAUGUGGAUUUUGUAAGUCUAAGUUGAUUGUUAGUCAUUGACCU